rnacentral:piRNA from 1 species
UCUUCAAAAAGUAUUUUCCAG